rnacentral:lncRNA from 1 species
CGGGGCCACCCGGCGGGGACGCGGGGGGGGGGGGGAGGCUGCCCAGGCCCCCCGAGGGCACCAGUCCCCGACAGCUCCCGGGCGCGCCGAGCGCGCGGGGCCCAGCAGAGCCGCAGGGGUUAAGGGCGGCGCAGCCAGAGCCGGAGCUGGAGCUGGAGCUGCCCUGCAGGAAACGAAAGUGAAGCAGCCGGAGCAGCCGCGACGCCACCGAGGGCAGGGACACGCGGCCACCAUGGCUUUCCAGGCGCCCAUCCUCAACCCAGCGCAGUCGGCGCAGUCGGUGCAGUCGGCGCAGUCGGCGCAGCUCCUGGGUGCCAACUUCCGCAGGCUCAUUUCCCGGACUCAGGCGCAGCCGCUGCAGGGAGCCGCUGUGAGUAAAUGUGUGCAAAUGUGUGUGGGUGCAUGUGGGUGCUCACAGGUGCGCAAAUGCGCGUCG